rnacentral:lncRNA from 1 species
GGCGUGGUGGCACACGCCUUUAAUCCCAGCACUUGAGAGGCAGAGGCAGGUGGAUUUCUGAGUUCGAGGCCAGCCUGGUCUACAGAGUGAGUUCCAGGACAGCCAGGGCUACACAGAGAAACCCUGUCUCGAAAAACCAAAAAAAAAAAAAAAAAAGAAAAUGGAACACCAGAGUACUAAGUAAGAGAAUAUGCAUAGAUCCCUCAGGCAAGAUGACAGCAUAUGAAAAGUGUUUGGUCCUAAGGUGGGUGUGGUUGUACAUACUUACACUCAGCACUUAGAAUUAUGAGUUAGAGACCAGCCUGAGCUACAGACAGGCAUUAUGGGGGAUGCGAGGAGUGUUUCGCCAAUGUAGAUCUUUAGGAUAGAUAUGCUCAGGCUACAUCAAACACCUGAACUCUUCCUAGUGACAUAUGGGUCAUUUCAUUUUAGCUUUCCAGAUUCUUGGUGAAAUUGAAAUUCUGAUUGAGAUAUCCUGGUACAGUUGCAAAUGCAAGCUCUGACCCAAAUUGUCCGUGGAUUCACUUCUCCCAUGUAUCAGACAAGUUGCCUGUCAAGAGUAUGUUGCUAUGCAGCUUUGUGGUGGCUGACACACUUGAGCCAGGCAGUCAUGGUUCCUCUGCAGCUUAAGUUGGUUGCAAUGUGUGCUGUGGUCACAGAGAGGAUGGUGGAAGGCUGAAGCUAUGUUGUUUCCAGUGACUCUCUUAAAUGCAGGGUUCAAGAAGAUGUCUCUCCUUCAGGCACAGCUUGUGAGCUAGAUGUAUUGAAAUUGCAUCCUUUGUGCAACUCCAUAAUCAGGCCUUGCUUCCAUUAGUCUAGGCACAUCUUCAUAAUAGUCAUUAGUGUGUGCUGUCUUAUGAUUCUAAAUAUGUUUAUGAAGAGAUUAUGGCUUUUGUUCUCAACUGGUCCAUUGUGCUAUUUUGAGUUUGAAGAAAUUCAGAGAUCUCUUACACAGCUACUCUAGGGUAGCAUUAGCCAAAGAAGAGCCAAAAGCUCGACUCUUCAGGGAUGGAGGAGGGUGCCUGGGUGGGAGGCACAGUGGAGGUGGAUGGCGGGCGGUGCAGACAGAUUAUGCCUUAGACUGUGAAUCUCUGCUUCCAGUGUAAGAGGAAAGAGUUUCCAGCCAGGAAAUGUAGCUUCUCAUCUAACUUCUUGGCUGCCCUCUGCUGCUCCUUAGUUGAACUUUGGAGGACCUCUGGUGUCCUGGAGGGUCCCAACUAGGUCUCAACAACAUGGUCUCGAGGGAAGUCUUGUCUCUGGUGAGUGGCACUAGCCCUUUAUGGUUUGAAUAUUAUUAUAUUCAAUUACAUAUAUUAUUCCAUCAUUCAGCCAUUUUGGCCACCUCCUCACACAGCUUUCAGCCUAUCAAUUCUUUUUGUUUUGUUUUUUCGAGACAGGGUUUCUCUGUAUAGCCCGGGCUGUCCUGGAGCUCACUUUGUAGACCAGGCUGUCCUCGAACUCAGAAAUCCGCCUGCCUCUGCCUCCCGAGUAAAGACGUGCGCCACCACGCCAGGCUUCAGCCUAUCAAUUCUUGAUAUUUUCUCUCUUCCUUCACCGGACUUUGGAGGAUAGCAAUAGGCCAAGUUGGCCUGAAAAUUGAUGUCCUCCGUACCUACGAUGCAGCAACUCAGGAUGGAGCCCAUGAUGCACAUUUCUGCUGGCCAGCAGAAGAGGUUGGGGUGACGACAGACAUGGCCCAGACCAGGCCGCACCGAGGCACACCCACCGCGCGAGGGUAUUUUUUUGCUCACUUGAGGUCUUCACUUAAGGCCUAUGCUUGUCACCUUAUCUACAAGGGACAGGGGGAGGAUCUUCAAGGACUUUGCAUUCAGGUUUAGUAUAGUUUGAACUAUGGUGAAGUCACCACCUGAUACUUCACUACCUGCUGGUCUCCCUAGCUGCUCUCCUGGAACAGCAGGUUCAAGAUGGGAGGCACUUCUAAGAAACUCAACUCCUCUGAGAAUCAUAAAAACAUACCCUGGCAUCCUCAAAGCAGUGCGUGUGUGCGCGCGUGCGUGUGUGUGAGAGAAGCCAGGGCAUAGCUUGUAAAUUAAUGUUGCAAUCCGUAUCCUGAUUUUUCUGAACUUGCUUUUAGCAUAUUAUUUGCCGUCUGCCCUGCUUUGUGCCUCAGUUUCCCUAUGUGUCAAAGGGGGAGAAAUCUGUCUUCUGAAAAUUCCGUGUCCAUUGUAAAUGUUUCUGUGUAGCCCUAGCUGUCCUGGAACUCACUCUGUAGACCAGGCUGGCCUCGAACUCAGAAAUCCGCCUGCCUCUGCCUCUGCUGGGAUUAAAGGCGUGCGCUACC